rnacentral:lncRNA from 1 species
CCCUUGGCCAGCAUAGUUCUUUGGCUGUCUCUGGGUGGUGAGCCUCAGCUGGACGCUCAGAAGUGCCUCAUCUCUUCUGCUCCCUGCUGCUGCUCUUCAUCGGUGAUUCAGAGCAUCUCUGGCUUUUUUUAUUUUCUCCCUAUGAAUGUUAUUGUCCAGUUCAUCCUAAAAUAACCCAGACCCAGCCAUCUGAUAAUACUUAGUCCCAGUCAUUCAAAAUAGGACUGGCAGGCGAUCCAGGCUUCUGCUUGUUUCUUUCUCUCUUUACAGUAAGCAUUCCUCCAACUCUGGUGCUCCCUCCAGAUUCCUGAGUUGGCUGCUUGUACAUGCACCCCAGAUCCUGGCAGCUGAAUCUCUGUGGAGCUGUCAGCACAGGCGGAGAGGAAUGGCUGGUCUGAGUCCUCCGAGAAACAACUGCAGACACCCCCAGAUUUAUCACCCAACUGGGCCCCUAGGGUGCCACCCUGACCUUCAGAAUGGAGCAGAGGGAUAGAACACAGGACUGGCUGCCCUCUGGAAGACCUCCAUUGGUCCUUGAUGGUUGGAUAAAGGAACUGGGUAGAAAGUCCUUCCCUGCCCUUUGCUUUGGAGAAGAUGAGGAUAGCGAGUUGGGUGUGCACCCCAGAGCUUCAACCUGA